rnacentral:rRNA from 1 species
GGACCCGCACAAGCGGUGGAGCAUGUGGUUUAAUUCGAUGCAACGCGAAAAACCUUACCUACUCUUGACAUACUUGGAAGCUCUUGUAAUGAGAGUGUGCCUUUUGGAACCAAGAUACAGGUGCUGCAUGGCUGUCGUCAGCUCGUGUCGUGAGAUGUUCCGUUAAGUCGGAUAACGAGCGCAACCCUUACCCUUAUUUGCCAGCGAUUCGGUCGGGAACUAUAAGGGGACUGCCGGUGAUAAACCGGAGGAAGGUGAGGACGACGUCAAGUCAUCAUGGCCCUUACGAGUAGGGCUACACACGUGCUACAAUGGGGAAUACAGACGGACGCUAAGCCGCGAGGUGGUGCUAAUCCUAGAAAGUUUCUCGUAGUCCGGAUUGGAGUCUGCAACUCGACUCCAUGAAGUCGGAAUCGCUAGUAA